CAAACAUGUUACUCUCACCAUAUGGGACUUUCAAAUUCCACAUACCCCAAAUCCCAUCCGAAAGUCCCUCAAAAAUUUUGGCAAAAAAGAAAAAAAAAGAAAAGGCGCGAGAUGUGACGACCCUGGUCUAGCAAUAUACCAAUCACACAGCGACAGCUGUCCGUCUGUUCAUAUAAAUUCGUUCUUUCUUUUCUUACUUGAUUUCCCCUCCGGUCUGAAAUUUCGAAUUUCGUUGCUGCCAUGGACCCAAACCAAGGCGGAAAGAAGAAACGGAAAAGAAAGAGAAAUAGCCUGAAAGAAAUGGCGGGGGCUCUGGCUGUACCAUGCGAGCAGUGGCGGAGCGCCAUUAGAAUUUAGAGAGAGAGAGAGAGCAGUGGGAGGUCCACUUCCUCCUCCGGCUACCUCCACUCCACCACGUGUCCCGAUCUCGUGCCUCUGGAUCCAAGUACAGAAAGCGAUGGCCAUUUGAAAGAUGGAUCUCGAUUCUCUUCCAACUCAGACGUCGUCCUCACCGUCUGUUUCACUGGCAAGAUUCUGUGUUUCUUAUGUAGUUUAGUAUCUCCAGAUGUGAAGUACAUAUCUGCCACUCCUGGUUCCGCUGUGAAGGACAUUUGUGGUGUUGCUGGCAGAGCUGGUGAAGGAGGAAAUGGUAGGAGCGGAGCUAGGGGUGUAAAUGGCAUAGGAGGAGCUUGCAGAGGCCUAGUUGGCAGAGGCAGAUCUGGUGGAGGCGUAGUUGCCGGCAUAGGCGAAGAUGGCGAAGGUAGAGGCACAGAGAGAGAGAGAGAGGCGGAGAUGGCGGAGGCGUAACUGGCAAGGGCGGAGUUGGCAAAAUCAGAGCUAUUGGAGGUGUAGUCGGCACAGGCGGAGAUGGCGGAGGCGUAACGGGCAAAGGCGGAGCUGAUGGAGGCGUAGCUGACAGAGAAGUAGUUGGUUUGUCCCCUGACUUGAGGCAAGGUACAUUGGGCACAGUAGUGCCAAGGGAAGUUCCAAUAGCAUUAUUGCAGGAGGCAUAAAUCUUCUUGCCAAGAACCGCAGAAGUGAUUUUGAUGCAGUCCAUUAUAAUGUUGUGGCAACCUGAAUUCUGGUCACAAUCUAACUAGAUCGCCUCCUCACUCACAGAAGUUCCUUCAAAAUCAAUGUACUUCACAUAAUCCACCGACAAAGUCGAGGGCUGACUUUUGCAGUCGUGAUCACGGUCACAAUAAAACUGGUCAAUGAUGAUAGGAUUUUUAGCUGCA